CGGGGCCCCGCGCCCCGCGCCCAGGCGACUCGCGUGCCGCCCGCUUUGGCUCCGCGCGGGCAGCCUCGCCGCGCAGCCUCCGGAGCCCGGGGCAGCCGGGCGUCCUCCCACCCGCCGGCGUGGGGCGCAGGCGGCCGCGGCCGGAGGAGGGGGCCUGGUCAAGACCCAUAAAAGUUGGAUCUUUCCCCAGAGGAAACCACCGAGGCUCACCUGGGCGAGAGGCCACCCCGCAGCGGGCGACCCAGGCCCGCGCCCGCGGGCAGCCUCGCCGCGCAGCCUCCGGAGCCCGGGGCAGCCGGGCGUCCUCCCACCCGCCGGCGUGGGGCGCAGGCGGCCGCGGCCGGAGGAGGGGGCCUGGUCAAGACCCAUAAAAGUUGGAUCUUUCCCCAGAGGAAACCACCGAGGCUCACCUGGGCGAGAGGCCACCCCGCAGCGGGCGACCCAGGCCCGCGCCCCUCACCCGCGGGAGGGGGCCCGGCGGUGUAACCAAGGUCCGGGGGCCCCGCUCGGGAUCCGAGGGCCACACACGGGGGAGCGGCCCCGCCGCCUCCUCUGGCUCGGCGGGAGGCUGCGAGCGCCCCGGGAGCCCUCGCUUCGACGGAGGCACACGGGGGCGCGGUGUGAUAUACGUGUCGUGGGCAAGGGUCUGACCUGAACGCGUCCGCCACCAGCGAGCUAAGUCCCUGGGGGGUUUGCGGAGACCCGGAGGAGGACGUCGCCGCGGCCGACUAGGCGCCCUGACCAGGUGCGGCCAAAGUUAGGGGAGGCCUCACCCGGGUCGGGCCCAGGCCACACCUGCAGCCCCCGCCCCCCCGCCUCGCUCUCCCCAGCGCCCCCGGGGAUCGGGAAGAGGCAGGUCCCGCGGCGCCCGUCACUCGGGCACGCCUCCGAGGGGUCCCUUCCGGGGGGCGCGGGCAGCCCGGCCCCGCUUCCCAGCACCUGGGGGGCGGAGCCCGAGGUCCCCCGCGGGGAGGGACGCGCGUCGCAGCGGUGCGCGCCCCCUUCUGGCGCGGCCCCCGGGAGGCCCCGGCCGGUCCCGAGCGCCCCGAGCCCGUUCCGGGAAGGUGACUCAGCGACGCGCCCCGGGCUCGAGAAACUCCGCA
rnacentral:lncRNA from 1 species